rnacentral:rRNA from 1 species
GGAUCAAUAUUUCGGUCAUGCCGUUGGUAUGCACUGUUAUCAUUGAUUUCUCACCUUCUAAAGAACCGUAAUGCCAUUAAUUUGGUGUUACGGGGAAUUAGGACUGUUACCUUGAAAAAUUAGAGCGUUUAAAGCAGGCUCACGCUUGAAUACAUUAGCAUGGAAUAAUGAAAUAGGACAUCCGAUUCUAUUUGUUGGUUUCUAGGAUCGAUGUAAUGAUUAAUAGGGAUAGUUGGG